UGUAGAGAGAUAGUUUUGUGAGCAUAUCUUGUCUUGUGGGUAUUUACAAAAAGAUGAGGAGGAUUUCCACUUGUAUUCAGUAACGUGGGAAAAGAUCCCUUGUUAAUGAUGGCUAUAUGAGACAACAUUUUCAUUCGUACAUUGAAAAUAAAGAACGCAAGGUGCAAUAAAAUGUUAGAAAUUUCGCGACACAAGUGCUAUGGAUUAAAUUAUUCAUGAUUUGGUAAAAUAAACGUAAUACUGUAUUUAUAUCAUAGCAAGGGGAAAAAGCUAUAUCUGAAAUAUCUGAAGGAAUGUUUCACUCAACAGUUAAUCACUUCGAUAUCUGUUGGUGAAAUCGGUUUAAUACAACGCGUUAACCCCUUCUAAAAAUAAAAGAGGCGAUAAAAGGCAGGGUCUCUCAUUGAAGCAGAGAAAGUUUCCAAGGCACUGGGAUAGAUUUGGUACUUG